AUUGAACGCUGGCGGCAGGCCUAACACAUGCAAGUCGAACGGUAACAGGAAGAAGCUUGCUUCUUUGCUGACGAGUGGCGGACGGGUGAGUAAUGUCUGGGAAACUGCCUGAUGGAGGGGGAUAACUACUGGAAACGGUAGCUAAUACCGCAUAACGUCGCAAACCCAAAGAGGGGGACCUUCGGGCCUCUUGCCAUCGGAUGUGCCCAGAUGGGAUUAGCUAGUAGGUGGGGUAACGGCUCACCUAGGCGACGAUCCCUAGCUGGUCUGAGAGGAUGACCAGCCACACUGGAACUGAGACACGGUCCAGACUCCUACGGGAGGCAGCAGUGGGGAAUAUUGCACAAUGGGCGCAAGCCUGAUGCAGCCAUGCCGCGUGUAUGAAGAAGGCCUUCGGGUUGUAAAGUACUUUCAGCGGGGAGGAAGGGAGUAAAGUUAAUACCUUUGCUCAUUGACGUUACCCGCAGAAGAAGCACCGGCUAACUCCGUG
rnacentral:rRNA from 1 species